GGAGAAGAAAAGAGCUAAAACCAUAGAUGAUCCUGCGGAGAAAUUUGAAUUUCUACUUAUUUUGUUUGAGGCCCAAAAUUUUUGUUCUGAUUAUUUUGUGCGCGGUGUGAGAAUUGCUUGAAGACUGAAACUGCCAAGUUCCAAGCACUCUAUGAGAAGUUUUGCAAGGACCAAGCCAACCAUCUACAGGCCUUGAAAGGCAUCAUUUCCAACUAUGAAGAAGAGAAGGAAAGGCUCUGCACACGAUAUGAACAACUGAGAAAGAAAGAAAGG